CUAAUGAUGGAACUCCUUGGAAAGAUGCCGCGAAAGAUAGCUGUUGGAGGAGCUCAAUCCAAGGAUUAUUUCGAUAAGUAUGGGGACUUAAAAAGGAUUCGAAGGCUGAAAUUUUGGCCGCUUGAUCGCUUGCUGGUUGAUAAAUACAAAUAUUCUGAGAAUGAAGCUCGGGAGUUUGCAGACUUUCUUUGUCCCCUUCUCGAUUUUACACCAGAGAAGCGGCCCACUGCUCAGCAAUGCCUGCAACAUCCUUGGCUCAAUCUCAGAAGUUCUGGUCAGAUUGAGAUGAAAAGUGAAGGUGAUAUGGAAAAGUUGCAUAUAGGGAUGAGCAACCUUCAACUAAAGGUG
rnacentral:misc_RNA from 1 species